rnacentral:rRNA from 1 species
GGAAUGAGUAGCGAGAAUUAUGUGGGAAUCAUAAUGGCCGAAAAUCUAAGGUUUCCUGGGGAAGGUUCGUCCGCCCAGGGUAAGCCGGGAGCUAAGGCGAGGCCGCAAGGCGUAGUCGAUGCACAUACGGUAGAAAUUCCGUAGCCGGUACAAUUGUUAAUCACGGUGACACAUGAGUAUAGCUCUACCGGGCGUUGGUAGCCCCGGGCGUAAGCGAGCCGAAUGAGGCGAAGUGAGUAAAGCUUGUGGCGAGAAAAGCCGUGUGGAUUGGUUGUACUGCCCGUACCGCAAACCGACACAGGUAGAUGAGGAGAAGAUCCUAAGGCCAACGGGAGAAGGGUUGUUAAGGAACUAGGCAAAUUGACCCCGUAACUUCGGAAUAAGGGGUGCCUACGAAAGUAGGUCGCAGAGAAUAGGCCCAAGCAACUGUUUACCAAAAACACAGGUCUCUGCUAAAUCGAAAGAUGACGUAUAGGGGCUGACGCCUGCCCGGUGCUGGAAGGUUAAGAGGAGAGCUUAGGGAAACCGAAGGUUCGAAUUGAAGCCCCAGUAAACGGCGGCCGUAACUAUAACGGUCCUAAGGUAGCGAAAUUCCUUGUCAGGUAAGUUCUGACCCGCACGAAAGGCGUAAUGAUUUGGGCACUGUCUCAACAGCCCGCCCGGCGAAAUUGUAGUACCGGUGAAGAUGCCGGUUACCCGCAACUAGACGGAAAGACCCCAUGGAGCUUUACUGCAGCUUAAUACUGAGAUUCGGUAAAUCAUGUACAGGAUAGGUGGGAGACUGAGAAACAUGGCCGUCAGGUCAUGUGGAGUCGCUGUUGGGAUACCACCCUUGGUUUGCUGGAUUUCUAACCUGCUGCCCUGAAUCGGGUAGGGGGACACUGUUAGGCGGGCAGUUUGACUGGGGCGGUCGCCUCCUAAAAUGUAACGGAGGCGCUCAAAGGUUGGCUCAGCAUGGAUGGAAACCAUGCAAUGAGUGUAAACGUAUAAGCCAGCCUGACUGCGAGACCGACGGGUCGAGCAGAGACGAAAGUCGGAGUUAGUGAUCCGGUGGUAUGUGAGUGGAAAUGCCAUCGCUCAACGGAUAAAAGUUACCCUGGGGAUAACAGGCUGAUCUCCCCCAAGAGUCCACAUCGACGGGGAGGUUUGGCACCUCGAUGUCGGCUCAUCGCAUCCUGGGGCUGAAUUCGGUCCCAAGGGUUUGGCUGUUCGCCAAUUAAAGCGGUACGCGAGCUGGGUUCAGAACGUCGUGAGACAGUUCGGUCCCUAUCUGUCGUGGGCGCAGGAUAUUUGAAAGGCGCUGUCCCUAGUACGAGAGGACCGGGAUGGACGAACCUCUGGUGCACCAGUUGUCACGCCAGUGGCACAGCUGGGCAGCUAUGUUCGGAUCGGAUAAACGCUGAAAGCAUCUAAGCGUGAAGCCGGCCUUAAGAUAAGAUAUCCCACUGAGUCAAUCAGGUAAGACCCCUUGAAGACUACAAGGUUGAUAGGCACACAGUGUAAGCGGAGUGAUCCGUUCAGCUAGCGUGUACUAAUAGGUCGAGGGCUUGACCC